AAGAUGGGUUUUCUUGAAGCUGCCAGUUCUUUCAGAACUCAUCAAAUUGAGGCUCUUCCAACCAGCUCUGCAGUUAAUGGAUUUAAGGCAAAUGUUGUCUUUAAGGAGAUUGAGAAGAAGCUUGAAGAGGAAGGGGAACAGUUUGUGAAGAAAAUCGGUGGUAUUUUUGCUUUCAAGGUGAAGGACGGCCCUGAGGGUAAAGAAGCCACCUGAGUGGUGGAUGUGAAGAAUGGCAAAGGAUCAGUUCUUCCUAACUCAGAUAAGAAGGCUGACUGCACAAUCACAAUGGCUGACUCGGACUUACUGGCGUUAAUGACUGGUAAAAUGAAUCCUCAGUCGGCCUUCUUUCAAGGCAAAUUGAAAAUCACUGGCAACAUGGGUCUGGCUAUGAAGUUGCAAAAUCUUCAGCUUCAGCGGGGCAAAGCUAAGCUGUGAAGAACUCCCUUUGCCUACCUUUGAAAAUUAAGAUGAGAUAUAUAGAUAUAUAUCCAUAUAUUUCAUUGUCCUAACUUAGACGGAAACUACACAUUGGCAAAUAGUGUGAGAUUUGUUUUUAAAUGGGUGUGACCGAUCCUGUUUUUCCUAAGCUCUGGGUGGACAGGGCCCAAUGGUGUACUACUGCAUGCUGAAUUGCAUACAAAACUGUGCAUUACAAAGUUCAUAUGGUAAUUAUGGUUUGGGGUAAAACUUGAGUUUCAGAAUAAAAUUAGGAACAGCAAAAUCUAAAAACUAUGUAAACAAAAGCUCUCAUUUUGCUUAUAAAGUAUAUUUAAAGAUCAUUCUGCUGAAGAUUCAACUUAAGUUUUCCUCUGGAGAACUAGGGGAGAAGCCGAAUACUAGGAACUGGCCAGUGGUAAUUACUGUUGUGACUUAAUGUCCUUACUCUAUUUUCCAUUAAUAGUUUUUAAAAUUCUGUACUGAGAUGUUUUUAAAAAAGACUUAAAUUUUGCUUUUCAUGCCAUCACAAUGGUAUUUUUUUUCCCCAAAUCAAAAUAAACCUGAUCAGAGCUUGGGGGGAAAAAAAUCUACAGCUGAAUGCAGGCCUAUUUUUAAAAUAAAAGUAUUUUUAAAAUGACUUUCCUUCUUGAAAAAAUCAGUGUAUUGGUCUUAAAACGCUAUUGUUAAAAAUAAUUGAACAAAUAAAGUUUGCUUUGAGAUGCACAGUUUUCCAAGUA